AAGAAAAAGUUGUAUUUUUUAGAUAAAAAAUAUAACAAAAAUUUUUACUAUAAAGCCACUUUUAUCUGUUUUUAAAAUCUAAUUCAGUUUUAGUUUGAAACUGUUGUUCAAAGGUAACACCUGUGAUAAGAGACACAAGCUGUUUCAGAAAGUGGCUGCAUCAGAAAGCAAGCUGUUAAGAGUUGCAGGUUGUUAAAUUCACUCUGCAGGGCAGUAGAUAAAAAGUGUUGUUGCACUUCAGCUUUAGUUUAUUUCAGAAGCUUCCUAAGAAAUCAGAUCUGAGGCUAUGGUAGCCUAGGCACUAAAAACAACAACAGCAACAACAACAACAAAAAACAAACAAACAAAAAACAAGAAAUCAAACAAAAAAAUACACAGCAAAACCUCAGGGAAAUCUCCACCUGGGGGAAGUUUACUUUGUUGGCUUUUUAUGCAGAGGGCCACUGAGUGAUCCUAAUCUGUUCUGUCAUUUUCUACCAAUUGGGAAGAAAGGGUAUGGGAGUUGAGAACUGGAAAUACUAAUGAAGAAGAAUUUCUGAUGUUUAGCAGAAGUAUGUGAUAUCUCUUGCAUCUUGGGGCUUCUUUGAAGCCUGGUAUUGCUGGCUUAUAUACCUGGACCUGUCAGAGUUUGAUUUUCUCACACAGC
rnacentral:lncRNA from 10 species